GCUGGCGGCGUGCUUAACACAUGCAAGUCGAACGAUGAUGCCCAGCUUGCUGGGCGGAUUAGUGGCGAACGGGUGAGUAACACGUGAGUAACCUGCCCUUGACUUCGGGAUAACUCCGGGAAACCGGGGCUAAUACCGGAUAUGAGCCGUCCUCGCAUGGGGGUGGUUGGAAAGUUUUUCGGUCAGGGAUGGGCUCGCGGCCUAUCAGCUUGUUGGUGGGGUGAUGGCCUACCAAGGCGACGACGGGUAGCCGGCCUGAGAGGGCGACCGGCCACACUGGGACUGAGACACGGCCCAGACUCCUACGGGAGGCAGCAGUGGGGAAUAUUGCACAAUGGGCGAAAGCCUGAUGCAGCGACGCCGCGUGAGGGAUGAAGGCCUUCGGGUUGUAAACCUCUUUCAGCAGGGAAGAAGCGCAAGUGACGGUACCUGCAGAAGAAGCGCCGGC
rnacentral:rRNA from 1 species